AAUGCAGCCCUGCAGUGCAGCAUUAUUUCUAUGCUUUAAGACAGUGGCUAGAGAGAAAGAUGACCACAGUGCCGCCAGUCAAUGUCGCCAGCAUCCAGACUGCAGUUCUGCACACAUUCAGCUUCACUGCCAGAGUCAGUCAAUGGCCAGGUCCAAGGGUGUCUGACAAAGCUCUCAAUAUGCAGAGGUCCUCUCACAAGUUAUAGAACACAAGCAACAAUAAACAAAAGAAAAUAAAAAACCCAGCACUACUUCAAAAGUGCACUUUACAAGGAAUACAUGAUUGAUAAAAAUAUGGAUUUUUCCAUACACAACAGCAAUAAAAUAAUAAUAAUAAUUACAAAGUGCAUUUCGGGAGCAACUGGGUGUCUAAAUAUUAAGGUAAUAACAAGGUUUAUCAAUUUGCACAGGUUUUAAAAGGCCAAAUGUCUGUGUAUGGAAUGUUGUAGCUUAAACAGUCUAUAACCCCAUAAUUGUAUAUUGCAUUAUGUUUUGCUUAGUCCCAGAAUGCUCUCUUCCACUGUUUCCUUGGCAACAGUGGGCAGAAAGGAGUGAGAUGGCAGAAGGUAGAAACAGAAAGAAAAAGACAGAAGACAGAGUUGGGAGAAGAGAUAAAAAGAAUACAUGCUUUUGGUGAUUUAGUAGUAGAAGGAAGUUAACUUAAAUACCAACAGAACACACUGAAAAAGCAAUAGCACCAACUUUAACUGAAAGAACAAAACCCUCACAAACAAAACCUUUUCAUCAAACAUAUAAACACACAUAACAACCACCAGACUACCCUUUAUACACACAUACAGGUCAAUAUUAUGGAAUCUAAAAAAAAAAAAAAAAAGUGCAAAAACUUCUAGUCUUAGUCUAAAGAAUAAACUUUAGACUUUUGACCUUUCCUGACCUGUGAUCUAUUGAAUUGGUCAAGAGAUUUCAACGUGUAUUUGAAGAGGGAGUGUAACUACAGUAAACCACAGACUGUGGGCAAACAGGAAGAGAGCGAGAUUAAGAGAGAAAAAGACAGUGAAGUAAAAUGCAAUAACAGGAAGCAUUAGAGACAGUCCCACAUUUAGAAUGAAAGGCCUCAAAAGGGAAUGGUUAUGUGUGGCUUUUUUUCACUGAUUUGCCGUAUGGAUCUUAACAUAUGGGAACCUUUGUAGUGUCCAUUGGUAACAACUGCAUCAUAGCAUGUUGUGUCCUCUUACCAUGGCAACAGCCCAGGAACCACAUCGAACCACAUCGAUCUCAAACCCUCGUCACUCAAGAACAACCACAACAACAACAACAAACAAUUGCGGAACUUCCAGCUGUGAGAACUCCAAGAAAAUAAAAGAUGAGGAACUGAAAACUACUCAGCUUUCAUCCACUUCAGAAGCUCCUUAAUGAUGUUACUUUUUUGGGAAAAUGAUCCAGUCAUUUUAUUUAAUGCAGUGCAAUGUCAGAUCUAUUACACUGUCAGAAUUUGUAUCUUGGGUGUUGAAAUCUGUAUCUUUGGUUUUGAAAGUUGAAAAUUGUCAGACAUACAGCAGAGGGUAGAUGGUAAGCAGUGUACUGUUGAUUUAAAACGUCUAAUCCAAAAAUGUCUUACUGACCAUGAAUCUGUAUUUUGGAUUAGGAUUUUUUUUUUAUGAUUACAUUUUUUUUAUUUGACAUUUUUAAUCUUAUAUGUUUUCAAAUAUAUUGUAUUUAGGCUAAUAUUAAUUUUAGCUCUUUUUCUUGCAUAUUAGUAACAAAAACAGCGCAGGUCCCAGUGUCACCUGCAACAUUAUAUACAAGAUGAGCCAGUCUCCAUCUCUCAGUGGAACUGAGCCGGACACAGAUACAUAAAAGGCACAUCAUGAUUUUAUUCCUCAUAUUUUCAUUUGGGUAUCUUAAUGUGAGGAAUAUUCCACAAAUGUGUUGCCACAUGGAAAAAAAAUCAUCUAGAUAAACUAAAUUUAAGUAAACUUUCCAUUGAGGUGUUCCAAGUCAUGUCCCAUUUUUAUUAAGUAGAAGAUUUGAUUUUAAUAGAUUGUGUCAUAUCCGUGAGGGUCAGAGUAUUGUAUUUACAAUUCUAUUUAAACAAUUUGUUAUGUUGCAGUUCCUCAUAAAGUCACCAAUAACACUUUACAAUAAGGUUCUAGUUGUUAUCAUUAGUUAACAACAUUAGUUAACAUAAACUAACAAUGAACAAUACUUUUAUAGCAUUUUUUUAAGGGAUAGUUCAUAGAAAAUUGAAAAAUUCCCUCAUCAGGGACAGUGGUGGCUCAAUGGCUAAGGCUCUGGGUUACUGAUUAGAAGGUUGGGGGUUCAAGCCCCAGCACAGCCAAGUUGCCACUGUUGGGCCCUUGAGCAAGGCCCUUGACCCUAUCUGCUCCAGGGGUGCUAUAUCAUGGCUGACCCUGCACUCUGACCCCAGCUUAGCUGGGAUAUGUGAAAAAAAGUAUUUCACUGUAUAUGUGCAAAUGUGUGAGAAAUAAAUAUAAUUAUUAUAUCAUUUACUCACCUUAAUAUGUGUCCGUUUUUACCAUUAAUUCUCCUCCUUGCCCAGUAGAUGGCAAUAUGCACGAAGAAUGCAAAUCGCAAAAAAACAAAAGAAGAAGAAUAUGAAAGUGGAGAUUUAUAGAAAUAAAGGACUUGAUCUGUUUCUCACCUACACCUGUCAUAUCGCUUCUGAAGAUAUGGAUUUAACCACUGGAGUCUUAUGGAUUACUUUUAAGAUGACUUUGUGUUGUUUGGCGAUUCAAAGUUUUGGCCACCAUUCACUUUCAUUUUGAGGACCUACAGAGCUGAAAUAUUCUUCUAAAAAUCUUUGUUUGUGUUCAGCAGAAGCAAGAAAGUCAUAAACAUCUGGGAUGGCAUGAGGGUAGGGCUGGGUAAAAGUAUUGAUUUUGUCGAUAUAAUUUUAAACAUGUCAAGGAUUAGCCACUGGCUGAAAUAUAUGCAACACAGUAUAUGCAAUUUCAAGACAUUAAUUGGUAUAAUAGACUGAAUCUGAACAUUUUUCAAAAGCUAAAAUGUGACCAAUUUGAUGAAAAACUAAUGAUAAAAUAUAAUUAGUAAAAUUAAUAUUUUCGAACUGUACCUAGAAGGGUUGCCUAGAAGGUUCCUGUAUAAUUAAAAGCAUUAGCUGAGAGAGGUUUAUUUUAUAUGUACAAAAAAUAGACAUUGUAACAGAAAUCUCCAUAUGAAUAUCAAAUCUAAUCUAAUUGGGAAAUAUUUAUCAAUACCAGUCCUACAUGAGGGUGAGUAAAUGAUGAAAUAAUUUUCAUUUUUGGUUAAACUAUCCCUUUAAUCUUGGUUAAUGUUAAUUUCAACAUAUAGUAAUACAUUUUUUACAUCAAAAGUUGUUUGUUAACGUUAGUUAAUUCACUAUGUACUAAAAUGAACUAACAAUGGACAAUUGUAUUUUUAUUAGCAAACAUUAACAAAGAUUAAUAAAUGCUGUAAAAAAAUGUUUUUUUCAUUGUUAGGUCAUGAUACCUAAUGCAUUAUCUAAUAUUAAAUGUAACAUUAGUGUAAAGUGUUACCAAGUUAUCAGUCAAAUUAGUCCAUUUUAUUUACUUGCCAAAGCCAAUUUUCACUCACAUUUGGUGCUUGGUAAGUGCUAAUUUUGGAUCAUUUCUAAGCUUUCUGUAUAGAGCAAAAAUAGCAUAUAUUAAUCUGAGUGGGCUGUGACUAAUCUGCCUCAUGUUAAUCUUAGCAUGGGGUGUGUAUAUAUCUGUAAUCUGCACAGUAAUGACAGACGGAGCUUUCUCGGCUGCGUGAACUCACCGGCUGAUCUUGACUUGCACCCUCACAUGCAGAAAGACACACACACACAAACACACACAUAGGACUGUGAGCUCCAUGUCCAUCAUCCACUUGCUGUCGGAGCUUAGAGCUGGCUGCUGUAUUCAUGAUUAUAUUCCCAUCUCUUUGGAAGGGUUAAUAAGGGCAGAGAAAUUAGGAAGUGAGAUUGGCUGGGAUGUUUUCUGGGAUGUAAUCUAAAUUGCUGGUGCAGGUUUUUUGGAAUGUAUGAAGCAUCCUGCUAUAAAUGUAUUAUCAUUACUGUCAAACAUGGCCAUGACCGCCAAUUUUUGCAUAUUAAUACACUUUUGCUACUUUGCAUAAAUAUUUUUGUACACAUGUGUGCAGACAGACUUAAUACAUCCUGCUUGUGUAUAGAUGCUUCUGCUUUACACACACAAAGACAUGUACAGAAUACACAUGUGUACACACACAC